rnacentral:rRNA from 1 species
AGAGUUUGAUCCUGGCUCAGAUUGAACGCUGGCGGAACGCUUUACACAUGCAAGUCGAACGGUAACGUGGGGAGGAGCUUGCUCCACCCCGACGACGAGUGGCGAACGGGUGAGUAAUACAUCGGAACGUGUCCGCUCGUGGGGGACAACCAGCCGAAAGGUUGGCUAAUACCGCAUGAGUUCUACGGAAGAAAGAGGGGGACCCGCAAGGGCCUCUCGCGAGCGGAGCGGCCGAUGACUGAUUAGCCUGUUGGUGAGGUAACGGCUCACCAAAGCAACGAUCAGUAGCUGGUCUGAGAGGACGACCAGCCACACUGGGACUGAGACACGGCCCAGACUCCUACGGGAGGCAGCAGUGGGGAAUUUUGGACAAUGGGCGCAAGCCUGAUCCAGCUAUUCCGCGUGUGGGAUGAAGGCCCUCGGGUUGUAAACCACUUUUGUAGAGAACGAAAAGACACCUUCGAAUAAAGGGUGUUGCUGACGGUACUCUAAGAAUAAGCACCGGCUAACUACGUGCCAGCAGCCGCGGUAAUACGUAGGGUGCGAGCGUUAAUCGGAAUUACUGGGCGUAAAGGGUGCGCAGGCGGUUGAGUAAGACAGAUGUGAAAUCCCCGAGCUUAACUCGGGAAUGGCAUAUGUGACUGCUCGACUAGAGUGUGUCAGAGGGAGGUGGAAUUCCACGUGUAGCAGUGAAAUGCGUAGAUAUGUGGAAGAACACCGAUGGCGAAGGCAGCCUCCUGGGACAUAACUGACGCUCAGGCACGAAAGCGUGGGGAGCAAACAGGAUUAGAUACCCUGGUAGUCCACGCCCUAAACGAUGUUAACUAGUUGUUGGGAUGUAACAAUCUCAGUAACGCAGCCAACGCGAGAAGUUAACCGCCUGGGAAGUACGGUCGCAAGACUAAAACUCAAAGGAAUUGACGGGGACCCGCACAAGCGGUGGAUGAUGUGGAUUAAUUCGAUGCAACGCGAAAAACCU